UGAGUCAAUUCCAUUGUUUUUUAAGAAUUUAAAGUUAUGGGUGUGAUGAUCCUUUGUUAGGAACGUUUUGGCAAGACUGGAGACUGCUUAUCUGAGUCGGAAUCCCACUGCAAAAUCAUUUUGGAGCUUAUUCGAUCAGUUCAUGUUGAUACAAAUUUCUCUUGAUCGUAAUGCAUUUGGAACUUUUGGAAAACCUGCGGCUGGGAGCUGAUUGUUCUCGAUCAAGUCCAGUGCUGAACCCCCAAAUGGAUUGCAAGGAUCAAAGGAACGUUUUGGAAAACCUGGAGACUGCAAAUCUGAGACGAAAUUCUACUCAAAAUCCAUUUUGGAGCUUGUUCUAUCUGUUCAUGGUGAAUCAAGUCCGUUUUGUUCUGCUUGCACUUU